ACACUCUCCUUUGCCUCCGGUUUCAGUUCUUAAUCGUGUUUUCCUUAUUGUAUUUUGUUGUUGUGGUAGUAGUUUUUUUUUUGGUGUUUGUUUUCUGCUACUAGUAUCUCUAUGUAACUUCUCUCACAAACUUGAAAAUUGGUAAUGCAAUUUUAACAUGUUUACCAAAAAAAAACUCUGUCUUAUCCACCAAACUAUUAGACGCUAAAAACAAACUAUUUAUUCACUAUUCAAAGAAAAACUAUAUUUUUUACACUCGCCUAAGUCCUCAACAACAAAACACAAUCAAAACCAUCAAGAAAGGUUUUCAUUUUGGACUCAAAGAAUGAUUUCUUGUUAAUCAAGCAA
rnacentral:lncRNA from 1 species